rnacentral:miRNA from 1 species
GGGGCGGGGGGGCGGGUG